rnacentral:rRNA from 1 species
UACGAGGGGGGCAAGCGUUGUUCGGAAUUAUUGGGCGUAAAGGGCGCGUAGGCGGUGCGGUAAGUCACCUGUGAAAACUCUGGGCUCAACCCUGGGAUGCCGGUGGAUACUGUCGGGCUCGAGUCCGGAAGAGGCGAGUGGAAUUCCUGGUGUAGCGGUGAAAUGCGCAGAUAUCAGGAGGAACACCGGUGGCGAAGGCGGCAUCCUGGACCGGCAUUGACGCUGAGGCGCGAAAGCCAGGGGAGCAAACGGG